rnacentral:rRNA from 1 species
CCUACGGGAGGCAGCAGUAAGGAAUAUGGUCAAUGGACGGAAGUCUGAACCAGCCAUGCCGCGUGCAGGAAGACGGUCCUCUGGAUUGUAAACUGCUUUGUUAGGGAAGAAACCCUCGUAUGCGUACGAGGCUGACGGUACCUAAAGAAUAAGGAUCGGCUAACUCCGUGCCAGCAGCCGCGGUAAU